AUGUACAUUCCUACAACAUAGCGUUAAUGCAUCAAAUCGAAUUAGAACUUCAUAGUUAAGUUCUCUUAGGAUAGAGUAGUACUAGGAUGGGUGACCGCCCGAGAAGUCCUAGUAUUUUACAUG
rnacentral:rRNA from 1 species